AUUCUGCAUGGGGCAGAGCAACAGAUUUCAACAGCACCUACCUAGGGGACCAUCUGGAAACUGCCCAGUUUGGAGAGACGCAGGCUCCAGCCCAUGUUCUAAGCUUAGACUGUAUGUGCUGAGAUCUUCUGGGACCCUGGCUUUGAGACACGCACACUUUGACCUCACAACCCAGGCCUGCCCUGGGGCAGGAAGACUUCCUUGUAGUAUCAUAAUUCAGAAGGUGGGAGAGAACCUGACUUUGGGCUACAGAGAUUUGCAACCCAGCUCAGGAACUUUCGGUUGGGACCGUGGUAACUCACACAUAUUCCCCCCCCACCCCCGAACUUGCACUUGGCAGCACCUCCCAACUUUGUUAAUGGAAACCUACUGAUCCGUGACACGCGCAUGGCAGACAUCUGCUCGGGGUAAUGCGCUGGUAAUGUACGUAUUGA